AGAUUGCAAGGAGCGAGGCUGCUGCUGGUUUCCUCAUGCGCUCCUCCAGACUGAGGCACUGGCUGCCUUUGGCCUUUCUCCCCUUUGAGGGCAGAGGUGAAACAACCCAAAAUCAAACACUGUUUUUCCUACUUCAUCCUCUCCGCACUGAGAUCAUCACCACCAGACAGCUGUGGGUGGCCCACUGAACAUCUCUGAUCCACAUUAGAGGUGCUGGAGAAAUAGGAGAGGAAAGCUUCUCUUCAUACAGGACUUGCUGGCUCUUCAAUAAUGUGCCAUGUGGGCUAGGAACUGGGAAAUACUGUAACUUGGAAGUGGUACAACGCAGAAGAAGCACAAGCAACAACCAGCUAACAAUAGAAAUGAGUUUUAUUUUGUAAAAAGUUAUAAAAUGAGUAUUGUACAAAAAUAAAGUCUGUAGAGAACUUU